AGCGAACGCUGGCGACAGGCCUAACACAUGCAAGUCGAACGGGGCAGCAAUGCCUAGUGGCGGACGGGUGAGGAAUACGUAGGAAUCUGCCCUUAAGUGGGGGAUAACCAGGGGAAACCCUGACUAAUACCGCAUGAUCUCUUCGGAGCAACGAGGGGGACCGCAAGGCCUCUCGCUUCUGGAUGAGCCUACGUCUGAUUAGCUAGUUGGUAGGGUAAAGGCCUACCAAGGCGACGAUCAGUAACUGGUCUGAGAGGAUGAUCAGUCACACCGGAACUGAGACACGGUCCGGACUCCUACGGGAGGCAGCAGUGGGGAAUAUUGGACAAUGGGCGCAAGCCUGAUCCAGCAAUGCCGCGUGUGUGAAGAAGGCCUUCGGGUUGUAAAGCACUUUAGCCUGGAAAGAAAAAACUUUGGUUAACACCCAAAGUCUUGACGGUACCAGGAGAAUAAGCACCGGCUAACUCUGUGCCAGCCGCCGCGGUAAGAC
rnacentral:rRNA from 1 species